UCAACCUGCAACCGCACGAUCCAGUUACUGUAGCCGCUUGCUGCAAUGAAAACAUCGUCGUUGGUGGGUGGAUGUAUGUCUGGGCCCGGUUCCGUCAUUUUUUGCCCCCCAGAACCACUGACUGAGUGAAGACGAGAAGGCAUGAGGCCCAUGUUAUGGAUUACAGCAGAUGUGGCCGUCUGUGGGGCCGCCAGCUGGCCGCCGCAUGCCGUCUUGUAGCCAGGGCCCCCGUGCCUGAGCUCCGUGCACCUCACACAUCAUACCUUUGACUUCAUGAAGAUUCCUGACAUCUGUGAUGUAAUGAAUAAAUUUGAAGUCCUUGGGAUUGUGGGUGAAGGUGCUUACGGUGUUGUUCUGAAGUGCAGACAAAAGGUAA